AUUGAACGCUGGCGGCAGGCCUAACACAUGCAAGUCGAACGAGGGGCGGACGGGUGAGUAAUGUCUGGGAAACUGCCUGAUGGAGGGGGAUAACUACUGGAAACGGUAGCUAAUACCGAAUACCAACAGAUGUGCCCAGAUGGGAUUAGCUUGUUGGUGGGGUAACGGCUCCCCAAGGCGACGAUCCCGUGCUGGUCUGAGAGGAUGACCAGCAACACUGGAACUUGGCCACGGUCCAGACGCCUACGGGAGGCAGCAGUGGGGAUUAUUGCACAAUGGUCGCAAGCCUGAUGCAGCCAUGCCGCGUGUAUGAAGAAGGCCUUCGGGUUGUAAAGUACUUUCAGCGGGGAGGCGUUACCCGCAGAAGAAGCACCGGCUAACUCCGUGCCAGCAGCCGCGGUAAUAC
rnacentral:rRNA from 1 species